AUGCUAAUUCGUGAUUCUUUCAGGUGAACCUGCGGAAGGAUCAUUACCGAGAUAGGGUCCUUCGGGGCCCGACCCUCCCAUCCUGUGUGUAUCUACCUCUGUUGCUUCGGCGGGCCCGUGGGUCCCUCUGUGGCUCACCACCGGCUCUGGCCGGUCCGUGCCCGCCGGUAGCCCCCAUCAAACCAACUGUCGUCAGUGAUGUCUGAGUGCAACGUAACAAAGCAAAACUUUCAACAACGGAUCUCUUGGUUCUGGCAUCGAUGAAGAACGCAGCGAAAUGCGAUAAGUAAUGUGAAUUGCAGAAUUCAGUGAAUCAUCGAAUCUUUGAACGCACAUUGCGCCCUCUGGUAUUCCGGGGGGCAUGCCUGUCCGAGCGUCAUUACACCUCUCAAGCUCCGCUUGGUAUUGGGCCUGCGUCCCCUGAGGGGGCGGGUUCAAAAGUUAGUGGCGGGGUCACCGGGCUUCAAGCGCAGUAACUUCAUCUCUCGCUUUGGAAGCCCCGGGGGCGGCUAGCCAGUCAACACCUUUGCCCCUGACAGUUGACCUCGGAUCAGGUAGGGAUACCCGCUGAACUUAAGCUAAAA
rnacentral:rRNA from 1 species